rnacentral:rRNA from 1 species
GACGACGCUGGCGGCGUGACUUAACACAUGCAAGUCGAACGGUGACGAGGAGCUUGCUCCUCUGAUCAGUGGCGAACGGGUGAGUAACACGUGAGCAACCUGCCCCAGACUCUGGGAUAACAGUUGGAAACAGCUGCUAAUACCGGAUACGAGACGGAGAGGCAUCUCUACCGUCUGGAAAGUUUUCGGUCUGGGAUGGACUCGCGGCCUAUCAGCUAGUUGGUGAGGUAAUGGCUCACCAAGGCGACGACGGGUAGCCGGCCUGAGAGGGCGACCGGCCACACUGGGACUGAGACACGGCCCAGACUCCUACGGGAGGCAGCAGUGGGGAAUAUUGCACAAUGGGCGAAAGCCUGAUGCAGCGACGCCGCGUGAGGGAUGAAGGCCUUCGGGUUGUAAACCUCUUUCAGCAGGGAAGAAGCGAAAGUGACGGUACCUGCAGAAGAAGCACCGGCUAACUACGUG